rnacentral:tRNA from 1 species
GCCCGGCUAGCUCAGUCAGUAGAGCGUGAGACUCUUAACUUCAGGGUUGUGGGUUCAAGCCCCAUGUUGGGUG